UGUACCCCAGCUCAGGAAGCAGGGCAGGGGGACAAGCAGAUUCCACGAGACAGCAAGUCUAGCUGAAACCGAGCUCCAGGUUCAGUGAGAGAUCCCACUGAAAAAAUAAGUUGGAGAAGAAUAGUGAUCAUGGGUCUCUGGCCUCUAUAUGGACACAAAUGGGGCAUGCAUGCAAAUAAAUUCACAGGCACACGCACAUGCACACACUCACACACGAGCACGUUCACUCGCUACACCUCAAACAAACAGCAUACAGCUGAGCCACAGUGUGUAUGGACCUUGUACUCUGACCGAGUCGUGGAGUCGGAACGGAACUAAAAAAAAAAAAAAAGUGACAGUGUAACUGAGAAAGUUCCCGUCCCGCCGUGUCUGGUGGCAUAGGCAUCCGUGAGGCCGUGAGACCGUGUUUGAAGAUAAAGACAGGCUGGGAUGCCCUUCAGUGAGGGAGGUUCAGCCUCACCACCACAAUAAAGAGGGGGGGGAGGGAAGGAAGGAGGGGAGGGCCUAGUUCUGGGGCUGUGAGAGGGCCAAUACUCUGAGACAAAGUGGUGGAGAAGGAAGCUGAUCUCGAGGCUGGCGUGGUCGGAGGGAGAGCAGCUCACACCUGUGACUCUUUUGCUUCGCUGAGAGUACGGCACAUCUUGAGAACUGUUAUCAUCCCAAUUCUUUAAAGGAGCUAUUUUCAUUUCUUUAAAUUAUGUGGAUGGCUGUAGGUUCAUGUGCGGGUUUUUGCAGGCAGUGCAAGCACCCACAGAGGCCAGGGGUGCUGGAUCCCCUGGGGCUGGAGCCAUAAGCAGCCAUCCAUCCGAUGUGGGUGCUGGGAAUCUAACUUGAGUUUUCUGCAAGAACAAUAGAUGCUCUGAUUGCUGGGCUCUCUCUCCCGCUGGUCAUAGCAUGUUUCGUUACCUCAGCUUCAGGCAGCUGGGUACCAGGGUAGUUCAUUAGCCUUGAAAACUAACCAAUUCUGAUAUACGGGCUGUGAGCCUUUGAUAUCUGUCUGGAGGUGACUGAGUCAUGUUGCCCCUGUGAGUCUUAGCGAUUGUUCUAAGCUUGGCUUCUGAAGGUGUGAGGUCUGGUGUGCAGCUAACCUUUUCUUUGUGAUUUUUUUCUACAGCCUGAGAAGGAGCACCACACAGGAAAGGGUUGGUGCAUUUCAACUAGUUCUACAUCUUGUUGUUAAGACACGGGGCAAGAUGCCCAGCAAAACAAGAUUUUGCCUGUAAAUUGAAAAGAAGAAUGUCGGGAGGAAAUUCCAGGAGCUUAAGCGGCAGUGCACACGGAUUAUUUGAAGUGGACAGCAAAAGAAAUCCAGGCCAUCAACACCUUUGGUGAAAAGAAAUACUAGGACUUCGGUCUUGGGCCCAGGCCCACUGCUGACAGCAUGAUGGAAGGAUGCACUUGCGGUCUAGACUCCCCCUCCCGCCUCCUGGAGUGGGGGUGAGGCGGCGUGGGCAACGGUUGGGAAGCUGUCUGGAGGCCUCUUGCAGAGACAUCAGAAUGCUUUGUUAGAACAAGCGCUGGGGAUCCAUCCUGUGGCUCACCCUAUCAAGCUGAAACCGGAUGUUGCUGCCAAGUUCUUUGGAAGGCUAAACAUUGUUGCCCUUGAACAUCUGCGUCUGCAAAAAGUUCUAGAUGUCAACCUUGUGACUAUACUAAUAAAAUCCUUGAAAGGUGAACAGAGGACAAACUGUACCAAGCCUCUGGUCCAAUGGCAUCCUGGAGUGGAGGGGGCUGCUCUGUGCGUCCUGGAGGUCUCACCCUAACAUGCGUCAGGGCAGAGGAAGUCUUGAGAACCUUGUGGACUUAUCUGUGGCAUCUUGAGGUAAGCAGUUCUGACCGUGGGGACAGAGUGGCAGUUUUCCCAGCUUGCUCAGAAAUGCAAGCACACACAGGUUCUUGGAUAAAUGGCUGAAGUGAGGUGUUCUUCUGAGAAUCGGGGGCUGCUCUUUGUUUCUCAAAUGAACACGCACAGACAGGUGGGCAGGGAGAGCAGCUUCAAAACACAGCAUGGACCUGGGUUUCAGUCCUGUCUCAGGAGAAGUAUUGUUUCUUUUCGCUACAGACUAGGAACUAAAUGAAGGUUUUAUACGCAGGGUCAUACAGGACGCCGGACACCGGACACUUAUAAAAACUUACAAGUGUUAGCAAAUGUUCUGGGUCAUUCAGAGACUCACCAGUAUAUUAAUAAAUUUUAACAGAGAAGAGGCUUUUCAUUCAAACACCGGUACCGUUCUACACUGGAGAACAGAGACUCAGGAUUCCAGAAUGCAGCCCCCAGCCACUUCAGUGAGGGGUUUGUAAAGGCAAAGAAUACAAAGUUACAGUUUGCUCUGGUUCAGCAAAAACAGUCCUCUUUACAGAACCAGAAACAGCCAUAAAAAAUGUAACCUUAACAGCUCUUAAUGUUUGGAGGUCUAGAUGGGCUUUAUGGUUCUGUUAAGCACAGAGAUGUUAAGUUUUUAAACAUAAAGUUAGCCAUUGAUGUGACUUUAGCCACCGUUGAGUUAUACCCUGAGUCAAAUCCUUGACUCUGCAUUGGGUACCUUUUCAUAUUGGGACUUAUUUACUAUCAUCUUAAUAGCUCAUAAGCAGGAUUUAUAGAUCUGGUCUUAACCUUGGCCUUAGUUAGUGUUAAUGAUGCAGGGUCAACUAUAAUCAGCAGGCACCCAAGGAAGAACAUGGGAGCCAUUUAUUUCCUCUCUGUGAGGUGUUUUCAAAGUUCAGCCAAAUUAUCCUUGAUACUCCUGAGUGGUUUGCCUAGAAGCAGAUGGCUACAGUAACCUCCUUGCCCUGUGUAAAGCAGAUCAAGUCCCUACCAUGUUGGAAGACUACCUCAGCCAAGAGUCAAGGUGUUCUUUUAAUUUUGCAAUGGACUUUUCUCAGGCAAAAAACAUCUGGGUUAUUUGAGGCCCUAAGUUUUUGUAGUUGACAUUAGUUGUGCUGUGCCUGUUGUCCUGAGCGUGGCUCAAGCCAUUCCCAAUCCUAAAUUUACUAUGGGGGAUGUAAGGGCCGGUGCCUGUGCAUACAUGUGUUUUCUCCCUACUGGACCAUUAUAAAGGCACAUGCAGGGAACAGGGUUAUCAAGACACAGAUUUUCAGGGAUUAGUGCACCUGCCAAAUAGGUAAGCAAGGUGCCAAGGGUUAGCACAUGUGAAACAAUGUUUCAACUGGGAGGUGAAGGAAGGAACAUUCACCUGAAGAAGUGAUGGCUGGGAACUGUGAGACAUCUGUGACAAGUUUGUAUCUGCUCUUAAGGGGGAUAUAGAAAUACAUCCCACAAAAGAGCAGGAGUUAAAUAUAGUCACAUAAAACAGUAGUAGUCUAUAAUUGUGUCCAGUUUAUCUUUGGUGGAUCCUCUCGGGCAUUGUGACAGUUCAUUUUUCUGCAGCCAGGUCAUUGUGGCCUGUGUUGUGCUUGACCUGCCAAUAAUAUACCCAGCUGUAGAUAGAUGCCAUCUUCCUUAGCAGCCAUGGGGGUGGUCAGGAUGACAAAGCAUGAUCCCUUCCAACAAGGUCCCAGAUCCUUCAGACCUAACAUGCCAGCUUUUUGUUAAGGGGGGAUGUGCUUACUUCUGUAACUGCUUCUCACUGAGAUUAAGACACCCUCGUAAGAACCCAUGAAGGCUGGAAAGCCAAAGGCCCAGGGGUGGGGCUCAGAUUGGGGGGCUGGAGGCAUUCACCAUAAGCAUCUGUUUUGCUGAUCCAGCUGAAGAGACAAGGAGCAAUUGUAUUGGCUGGUCUGAUUAUAGGGUUGCACAUCUGUGAUCUUAGCAUUCUGGAGGCAGAGGCAGGAGGAUCUCCAUUUGGAGGACAUCCUGGGCUAUAUAGACUCUCAUGCAUCUAUAAAGAAACUUUUGUUGUUCCUGUCUUGGGGCUGAAUUAAAGCCACUGAGUACAAACCCCGCUGUUGUACUGUGGCUGCACCUGAGGAAGUCCUCUUGAAUCUUAACGUUAACAUAUUAAAUACCCAAACCUUAUAUUAUGACCAAGUGAUAAGAGGGAGGAGAGGGGUUGGGGAUUUAGCUCAGUGGUAGAGCACUUGCCUAGCAAACGCAAGGCCCUGGGUUC
rnacentral:sRNA from 1 species